rnacentral:rRNA from 1 species
UACGUAGGGUGCGAGCGUUGUCCGGAAUUAUUGGGCGUAAAGAGCUUGUAGGCGGUCUGUCGCGUCUGCUGUGAAAAUCCGGGGCUCAACCCCGGACUUGCAGUGGGUACGGGCAGACUAGAGUGUGGUAGGGGAGACUGGAAUUCCUGGUGUAGCGGUGAAAUGCGCAGAUAUCAGGAGGAACACCGGUGGCGAAGGCGGGUCUCUGGGCCGUAACUGACGCUGAGGAGCGAAAGCGUGGGGAGCGAACGGG